GUUCUACUGAGACGUUGGUGACUGCCAAUAAAGUUUGUUGAUCUAUGUUCAUCAAAAUAAGGGAACCAAGCGUUCUCGGUGCAGUAGACCGGGCAUGUACCCGGAAACGUAAAGCGAGAGUCAACGGUGCCCACCUGGUUUUCCAGGUCAUAAACUGAGGUAAAACGGCGUAUCGGGGAACCU
rnacentral:other from 1 species